rnacentral:rRNA from 1 species
CGAACGGGUGAGGAACACGUGAGAAACGUACCCCAGACUUUGGGAUAACAAAUGGAAACGUUUGCUAAUACCAAAUAACGUCGGAGAGUCACAUGACUUUCUGACGAAAGGAAUUCCGAUUCGAGAGGGUCUCGCGGCCUAUCAGCUUGUUGGUGAGGUAAUGGCUCACCAAGGCGACGACGGGUAGCCGGCCUGAGAGGAUGGUCAGCCACACUGGGACUGAGACACGGCCCAAACUCC